UACGAAGGGGGCUAGCGUUGUUCGGAGUUACUGGGCGUAAAGGGCGCGUAGGCGGCGCACCAAGUCAGGUGUGAAAGCCCUGGGCUCAACCCGGGAAUUGCGCUUGAGACUGGUGUGCUUGAGUACGGGAGAGGAUAGUGGAAUUCCCAGUGUAGAGGUGAAAUUCGUAGAUAUUGGGAAGAACACCGGUGGCGAAGGCGGCUAUCUGGACCGUAACUGACGCUGAGGCGCGAAAGCGUGGGGAGCAAACAGG
rnacentral:rRNA from 1 species